rnacentral:tRNA from 1 species
GGAGGGUAUGCCGAGCGGCUAAGGCACAGGUUUGCUAAACCUGCGGGAUGAAAGUCCUGGGUGGGUUCGACCCCCACACCCUCCG